UUGGUGUGCACAGAGCAGCUGCCUUGGAGAUCCUGGGUGAGCUGUUUAUACCGCACCAUAUAGAAACAUGUUGUCAAAUAGGAGGAUGGAUGAGUCCAAUUCCAUUCUGCUUUAAAUGAUAACAAACAA